rnacentral:rRNA from 1 species
UGUAUAAUGGGUCAGCGACUUAUAUUCUGUAGCAAGGUUAACCGAAUAGGGGAGCCGAAGGGAAACCGAGUCUUAACUGGGCGUUAAGUUGCAGGGUAUAGACCCGAAACCCGGUGAUCUAGCCAUGGGCAGGUUGAAGGUUGGGUAACACUAACUGGAGGACCGAACCGACUAAUGUUGAAAAAUUAGCGGAUGACUUGUGGCUGGGGGUGAAAGGCCAAUCAAACCGGGAGAUAGCUGGUUCUCCCCGAAAGCUAUUUAGGUAGCGCCUCGUGAAUUCAUCUCCGGGGGUAGAGCACUGUUUCGGCAAGGGGGUCAUCCCGACUUACCAACCCGAUGCAAACUGCGAAUACCGGA